AUGUAACCAUCAUUGCUCCCAAAUCGCUACACGCGCAACAAAUUUGCACGCGAUAUUCGUGAAAUGUAAAUCCUAUUCUGGCUCCUCCCAGCAGGCAACGGUAAACACAGCAUCCCAGGAGACGAAAAUUCUCGAUCGCUGGCAAAUUGAAUUUACCGUCCCAGGCAAACACGCUCCAUGUGAUGUUUUCCAUGUGCGUUCUUCCGUUUGUUUAAGGACAAUUUUCACACUGCGAGUCCGCGCAUUGCCAGCCAACAAAGUCUCUUUGUAACCAAAUCUUUGCUGCAUAGAAUCGGAAUAUACGAUGGCAGUUAGAGCAGACAACACGAAGAGACAAGUAGGACAAAUCCCAACUGCAUUCAAAGACCAUUCUUCAUCCCGAAAUGCACACCACGGAAGGCAGAGCAUUCUUUGACCACGACCACCACGGGGGAUUUCAAUAUUCGUAUAAGUUACGACGCCCGGAUAACGGAAAAGGCCAGAGAGUCCAGAGUCCUUCCGGGACGGAACCGUGCCUUAAUACAAUUUAUCCGCCAUCCUCCGAUCCCAUUAGCCACCCUGGAACGACAAUCACGAGCGCCAAAGCACGAUUGCCCCCGCAACUAAUGGAUCACCAUGUCAAGGUCACGUUUAUUUGGCGGGUGUGAGCAAACGUUUUAUAGUGUUUCCAACAAACACCCCAAAAACACAGUGGAUCUACUAAUGCUACGUGGCUGCGGAUCGGAAGUGAGCGAUUAACGGACCAACGAUGCGCUGCACCCGACGUGUACUAAUCGGUCUAAUCUCCUCGCCAACUGUGGGUGGCUGAUUUGGGGAAGGUUCAAAGGGUUUACGGGAAUCCCUGGAAGAACCUGGAAAGGCCCCGGAAGUAACACUCACACACACGUGUUAGACGAUGCGGAUAAAAUAACAAAUAUCUGGGGGUCCCGGGGCAGUUUUGUCUUUCAGUUUUCCUUUUUGGCAACCUUUUCCAAAAGCGGUUGCCCAGUUGCGCACGGCACACACCAGGAGUUCGGGAUGUUCUCGUAAAUAAAUUGCUAUUUCUCUUGCUACGGUAUUGCUGGCGUCAGCAGCAGUGUAUUGCAGAGCGUGUUAAAGGAUAUCACGCGCGUCACCGUCCGUGGCGGCCGACUCCGUAUACACACAAAGUCCCCAUGGGCCCUCGUCUC